UGUUGUGUUUGAAUUCACAGAGACCCAUACAGAGCUUGUUCAGGCUUCUUGCUGAGCUGUAACAAACGUACUGUAAGUAUUUUUCCAGAGUCACCCAAAAUCAGAUACAGCCAUUCCUCCACAUUUGUGGUUUUGAUAGAUUUGAUUAGUCAUGAUUUCAUUUAAAAUGUUCUUUUUAGGAAUUUCUAUGCCCUCCACUGUGAAUCUAUAGUCAACUUUAUCCAGUCAUGCUGAAGGACCAAGAGAUUUCAAGAGAGAACACCUCUCAGGACUGUCCUGAUCCUCCAAUGUGAAUAUAUGGUGAACUUCCAGGAUACAUCAACCACAGAGUCACGCUGGAUCACUUAAAAAUUCUAGAGAAGUGUUAAGAUAGCAUUUCUAUUCAUAACUUCUUUUACUUUCACAUGAGCCCCAUGCCCCUAACUCCAGUGAAUGUGGAGAGAGCUGAUUAUUUCAUUGUUAAAUUAUCUCAUGAGACAUUUCUGAAGAAAUUUGAACUGUGAUACAACAUUUUCUUAACACUGUUCUCAAUUUCAGAAUCUAUACUAUGCAUAUACAAGAGGACGCAAAUGUUUGAGCAGUCUAUUUUUAAUUUUGUAAGUGAAGGAGGACAAAGGGAGAUGAGAGUCACACCUGUAGAUGUUAUGCAUACCAAUCCUUUUGAAAUCUUCAUAACUAUAAAACCUGAUUACCAGCCUCCUUGCUUGAUUGGAUUGUUUGUUUUGCUAUCUGCUUAGAUCUCAGACUUGGGCUUGGUGAACGGGUCAAGAGAGGGCUUCACGGUUGGCCCACAUUUACCGUGAGGUACAUCCUCGCACACUGGGCCUCACAUGACCUGGUUACCUCAAGCAAACUGCAAGCUGCUAUUUAAAAGGGCCCAGCUUCCUAGUGCUCAGCAGUCAUGUGAAUCCGCACUAAGAAGCCUGCACUCUGUUCUGUGAAUGGAUUAUUCCUGAAUUUGUUUAAACCCAUGGCAAAACUGGCAGCCCUCGAACUAAUCUUCUCUGUUUACAAACACUAGACAAAGCGGCCCUAUUAACAUGCAUCAUCUGACCUGCGGGGAUAUACAAUCAACUGAAAGCUGUCUGACUGUUUCCAUGAUCUAUAUGUCGAAACUGAUUUGUGUCAACAUACUGUGGUGCUUCCAAGAGCGCAAGGGAUGAGGGUGAAUUCUUGGUGAGUAGCAUUGAGCUGUGCUGAAGGACGUGCUGUUAGAUUGAUCUUGCAACCAGAAGAGCACAAAUCUGUGUACCCCAAGGCCUUAGUACUUGUGGGCAUUGCCUUCGUUGCAGCCAUUAGUUUUAGAUGCAUCUCUACAGUAACCUGUUUAGUACAAAUUAUGCUGGUAACUGCCCCAAUGGCACAUCUUUCCUGAAUACUGAUGUUUGCCUUUGGCUUUGCAAAUGGGUUAAAUAGAAAUCACUGCAACCCUCCUGACAUUCCACAUUUAAAGAUAAAUGGAUGCAAAUCUUAUUUUAAAUUCCUAUUGUUCACUGAAGAUCUGCAUUACUGGGGCUAGGUCCUUAUAUUUUCAAGGGAUACACACACACACACACACACAGCCUGAGUUAAUAAUGCUUUCAAUCUUUGUUGGCACUGUCAGGGGUUGGAUGGGUUAGACAAGCCUCCAACCAUCACAGGGGAGUUUCAAUAGGUGGUACUCCAAGAGGCUCUAGUCCAGUGGUUCUCAGCCUGUGGGCCCC
rnacentral:lncRNA from 11 species